rnacentral:lncRNA from 1 species
ACCAUGAGGAUCAAAAAUAUGCACAGACUGCCCAAUGGACUGCAAUAUAUUCAGAUACUGCCUAUCAGUAAAGUUCACCGCCGAUGGCCCGCUACCACCUCCACCUCUAAAAUCAUCGCCGCCGCCGCCGCGCUUCCCACUGCCGGUGCUGCCGCCAGUGGGAGGAUCAUGGCUGCGGCUCUCCCUCUGCAGCGGCGAAGAAUGCCGAAAAGAGGUAGACCCUUUCUUCCAAGCCGCCGCG